GUUGAAGAACGUAGCGAAAUGCGAUAAGUAAUGUGAAUUGCAGAAUUCAGUGAAUCAUCGAAUCUUUGAACGCACAUUGCGCCCGCCAGUAUUCUGGCGGGCAUGCCUGUUCGAGCGUCAUUACAACCCUCAGGCCCCCGGGCCUGGCGUUGGGGAUCGGCGGAGCCCCCCGUGGGCACACGCCGUCCCCCAAAUGCAGUGGCGGUCCCGCCGCAGCUUCCAUCGCGUAGUAGCUAACACCUCGCGACUGGAGAGCGGCGCGGCCACGCCGUAAAACACCCAACUCUUCUGAAGUUGACCUCGAAUCAGGUAGGAAUACCCGCUGAACUUAAGCAUAUCAAUAAGCGGAGGA
rnacentral:misc_RNA from 1 species